UCUCUGUUUUAAUCUUUGCCUCUGAAACGAUGGAAUUCUUAAGGCGAUUUACUGUGUAUGUAAAUUCCAGUUUAGAAGUUAUAGCACGAGUUAAUUGUCAUCCCUUCUCUGUUUCAGGGUGAAUUGUUAUUUGGCUCUCUCUGUCCAGUGCCCAUUUGGUGGGUUCAAGAUGUCUGGAAAUGGGCGAGAAAUGGGUGAACAGGGUGUUUAUGAAUACACUGAGCUCAAGACAGUCGCAAUGAAAAUAUCUCAGAAGAACUCCUAAAGAAGCCAGCAGAGUGACGAGAAACUCUCAGCAGUGGCUACAUGUCUCCUACAAUCACCAGCAGAGGGUUGUUUUAUUACAGGGUCUUCUGUUGAUUUCUUAAACAUAAGGAAUCCAUCAGCAUUACUGUAACUCAUAGAAAACAUAUAGCUUAAUUCUUCUAAUACAUGACCCUAAUUCAUACCCAAGAAGAAAGGGAUACAUUUAGGUACAUGCUCUUUGUAACCCAGUCAUGAAAAAGUGCUUUCCAUUGUAGCUACUUGUCUACAGCCCUCAUUUGAUGUGAUUUAAACUCUGUUUUUCGGUGACUUCUUGCACUACUUACCAUGCACAACUGAAAAGUUAGCCACUGUUCUUGGAGUUAUUGUUCUGAGUAUUGUGAAAUAUUUUUAGAAUGACACACCUGCUUGUCAAAUAAAAUGCUUAGCUGUAAAUAGAGUGCAAAGUUUAAUAAAGGCAAAAUCUCACAUGA
rnacentral:sRNA from 1 species